rnacentral:rRNA from 1 species
AUGAGCUAUGUGAUCAAAAUGAAUGUACAUGAUCACAUCAAUCACAACCAUUUAGAAGAUAAUUUCCGACAGAGAAUUGUUGGGAGGCUCUCUCUCGCCCCCGUCGCUCCCGCGAGCGGCGGCUGGCGAGCGCCCCUCUCCUCGCCCCCAGACCCCAUACUCGUUGUGAUCUCCUCGCCGCCGCCACAAGGCGCCCCCGGGCGAAGCCUGGCCCGCGACGGCGGCGGCGGGGAUUCCUUCCCUCCUCGCUCGGCGGUGGCGGCGCGGGAUGCACCAGCGUCCAGGGGCGUUGUGCUAUGUGCGGGGCGCAGCGGCGGGACUGCGCGGGGCGGCGCUGGUGGCGCAGGCUCGCUUCGGGGCCGCGGAGGCUGCUCGGCGGCCGGCUCAAGGCGCGACGGCGGCGCGCCAGAUCUGGCAUCGUGA